CCUACUUUUUAAAGAUAACUGAAAUUUUGUGAAUUUCUUAAUCACAUUUAUCCUUCUUCCUUCUUUAGGGCUACUCCUGGACUUAACCUCAGAAUAACAAGGUUGCUUUAAUCCAUUAUUUUAAAGUUCUAAUAUCAGGAAGUAACAGAUUUUCCAAUAAGUCAUCCUUUGCUCCUCUCUCCCCAAACUUAACUCUCUAUCCAUUAUCCCCUAAGGUCUCUUUGUUUUAUGUAUUUGUGAAAAGUGGGGAGUGGAGUAGGAGGUGUGACAGGAUUCUUUCUGGAACAUCAGAAUUGCGAUUUUAUUGUUUGUUUGUUUGUUUUUCAGCUGACUUUAGGUUAUAAUUUACCCCAUCAGAUUUGGACAAAGAGACCUUGGGAAAAAUAACCCCUAUCCUCUCCUUCAGGCAUAAUGACAUAAAUUAAGAUCCAGUAGUGGUUUUGCCAAAUCACUGUCCAUUUACUUUAAAAGGAGUGUCAUUUGAACUAUUUUUUGUUUUACCAAUUUUAGUUCUUUCUGUUCUUCUGUCUAUCAUGGUCUUUAAAUGCUUAUUUUAGUAAGCCACUUUUUGUAAGCCUGCGUUCUGUGAUGUAAAGAGAUUGCUGUGGGUUGGGGUUUGUGUGGGGACAUUACCUUACAUACUAGAGAGGUUCCUCCGCUGAUGUGUGUGGCAAAAGGGUCCAGUCUCCCAUUCCGAUUUAGGCAGCAGCCUCCACCUUAUGUGCUAUUCAAGUGCCUGCUCCUAAGUAUUCAAGCACCUUCUCCUAAGUCCUGACAGAUGAUCUGUCAGGUGCGUGACAUGCACAGGUUAGUGGUAGAGUAAACGUGGUCUCCCAUCUGGGCCCUGGAACCAGGCACAGAAAACUACAGUUCUGUCUUUUAGGCCGCAAGGAUUUCAGGAC
rnacentral:lncRNA from 1 species